rnacentral:rRNA from 1 species
CGACCGGCGCACGGGUGAGUAACGCGUAUCCAACCUGCCCUUUACUAUGGGACAGCCCGUCGAAAGGCGGAUUAAUACUGUAUGUUGUCAUGUUGAUGCAUAUUUUCAUGACCAAAGGCUUCGGCCGGUAAAGGAUGGGGAUGCGUCUGAUUAGCUUGCCGGCGGGGUAACGGCCCACCGGGGCGACGAUCAGUAGGGGUUCUGAGAGGAAGGUCCCCCACACUGGUACUGAAACACGGACCAGACUCCUACGGAAGGCAGCAG